rnacentral:rRNA from 1 species
ACACAUGCAAGUCGAACGAGAAUCUACUGAAGGAGGAUUCGUCCAACGGAAGUAGAGGAAAGUGGCGGACGGGUGAGUAACGCGUGAGGAACCUGCCUUGAAGAGGGGGACAACAGUUGGAAACGACUGCUAAUACCGCAUGAAGCAUAGGGGUCGCAUGAUUCUUAUGCCAAAGAUUUAUCGCUUCAAGAUGGCCUCGCGUCUGAUUAGCUGGUUGGCGGGGUAACGGCCCACCAAGGCGACGAUCAGUAGCCGGACUGAGAGGUUGAACGGCCACAUUGGGACUGAGAUACGGCCCAGACUCCUACGGGAGGCAGCAGUGGGGAAUAUUGGGCAAUGGGCGCAAGCCUGACCCAGCAACGCCGCGUGAAGGAAGAAGGCUUUCGGGUUGUAAACUUCUUUUAAGAGGGAAGAGCAGAAGACGGUACCUCUAGAAUAAGCCACGGCUAACUACGUGCCAGCAGCCGCGGUAAUACGUAGGUGGCAAGCGUUGUCCGGAUUUACUGGGCGUAAAGGGCGUGCAGCCGGGUCUGCAAGUCAGAUGUGAAAUCCAUGGGCUCAACCCAUGAACUGCAUUUGAAACUGUAGAUCUUGAGUGUCGGAGGGGCAAUCGGAAUUCCUAGUGUAGCGGUGAAAUGCGUAGAUAUUAGGAGGAACACCAGUGGCGAGGGCGGAUUGCUGGACGAUAACUGACGGUGAGGCGCGAAAGUGUGGGGAGCAAACAGGAUUAGAUACCCUGGUAGUCCACACUGUAAACGAUGAAUACUAGGUGUGUGGGGACUGACCCCCUGCGUGCCGCAGUA